rnacentral:rRNA from 1 species
GACGUAGGGCGCGAGCGUUGUCCGGAUUUAUUGGGCGUAAAGAGCUCGUAGGCGGCUUGUCGCGUCGACUGUGAAAACUCGGGGCUCAACUCCGAGCUUGCAGUCGAUACGGGCAGGCUAGAGUUCGGUAGGGGAGACUGGAAUUCCUGGUGUAGCGGUGAAAUGCGCAGAUAUCAGGAGGAACACCGGUGGCGAAGGCGGGUCUCUGGGCCGAUACUGACGCUGAGGAGCGAAAGCCAGGGGAGCGAACGGG